AACGAACGCUGGCGGCAGGCUUAACACAUGCAAGUCGAACGGGUGUAGCAAUACAUCAGUGGCAGACGGGUGAGUAACACGUGGGAACCUUCCUAGGGGUACGGAACAACUCAGGGAAACUUGAGCUAAUACCGUAUACGUCCGUGAGGAGAAAGAUUUAUCGCCCUUAGACGGGCCCGCGUCGGAUUAGCUAGUUGGUGGGGUAACGGCCUACCAAGGCGACGAUCCGUAGCUGAUCUUAGAGGACGAUCAGCCACACUGGGACUGAGACACGGCCCAGACUCCUACGGGAGGCAGCAGUGGGGAAUCUUGGACAAUGGGCGCAAGCCUGAUCCAGCCAUGCCGCGUGAGUGAAGAGGGUCUUCGGAUUGUAAAGCUCUUUUGCCAGGGACGAUAAUGACGGUACCUGGAGAAUAAGCCCCGGCAAACUUCGUGCCAGCCGCCGCGGUAAAAC
rnacentral:rRNA from 1 species